rnacentral:rRNA from 1 species
AUUGAACGCUGGCGGAAUGCUUUACACAUGCAAGUCGAGCGGCAGCGCGGGGCAACCUGGCGGCGAGCGGCGAACGGGUGAGUAAUGCAUCGGAACGUACCCAGUCGUGGGGGAUAACGUGGCGAAAGUCACGCUAAUACCGCAUACGUCCUGAGGGAGAAAGCAGGGGAUCGCAAGACCUUGCGCGAUUGGAGCGGCCGAUGUCUGAUUAGCUAGUUGGUGGGGUAAAGGCCUACCAAGGCGACGAUCAGUAGCUGGUCUGAGAGGACGAUCAGCCACACUGGGACUGAGACACGGCCCAGACUCCUACGGGAGGCAGCAGUGGGGAAUCUUGCGCAAUGGGCGAAAGCCUGACGCAGCAACGCCGCGUGCGGGAAGAAGGCUCUCGGGUUGUAAACCGCUUUCAGCAGGACGAAAAUGACGGUACUUGCAGAAGAAGGUGCGGCCAACUACGUG